AGAGUUUGAUCCUGGCUCAGAAUGAACGCUGGCGGCGUGCCUAACACAUGCAAGUCGAACGAGAAAUUUCCCUGAGUAAUCAGAGAAAAAGUAAAGUGGCAGACGGGUGAGUAACAGGUGGGCAACCUGCCCUUAAAUUGGGGAUACCCCAUCGAAAGGUGGGCUAAUACCUAAUAAGACUACAACUGCUCAGGUGGAUGUAGUAAAAGAUGGCUUUUAAAGAGCUUUCGUUUAAGGAGGGGCCCGCCUACCAUUAGCUAGUUGGUAGGGUAACGGCUUACCAAGGCGACGAUGGUUAGCUGGUCUGAGAGGAUGAUCCCCCACACUGGUACUGAGACACGGACCAGACUCCUACGGGAGGCAGCAGUGAGGAAUAUUGGUCAAUGGGCGCAAGCCUGAACCAGCCAUCCCGCGUGCAGGAUGAAGGCCCUAUGGGUCGUAAACUGCUUUUAUACACCAAGAAAAACACCCACGUGUGGGUGCCCGACGGUAGUGUAUGAAUAAGCAUCGGCUAACUCCGUGCCAGCAGCCGCGGUAAUACGGAGGAUGCAAGCGUUAUCCGGAUUCAUUGGGUUUAAAGGGUGCGUAGGCGGAGUACUAAGUCAGCGAUGAAAUCCUGCAGCUUAACUGUAGAACUGUCAUUGAUACUGGUAUUCUUGAAUGCAGUUGAGGUAGGCGGAAUGUGUAAUGUAGCGGUGAAAUGCUUAGAUAUUACACAGAACACCGAUUGCGAAGGCAGCUUACUAAACUGUGAUUGACGCUGAGGCACGAAAGCGUGGGGAGCAAACAGGAUUAGAUACCCUGGUAGUCC
rnacentral:rRNA from 1 species